GUUUGUUUGAUUGAGUGUCCUUGUCGCUGAUUUUUCUUCCUCCUUUUAUAGACGAUUUGGCUUGGCUGCCUGCAGUAUUGAUUUUGCCCGAAUGUAUCUGAAGGGCAGUGACUCAUCAACUUUUUACUUGUACUGCCAUUGUAAAGUACUUUUGGGCUGAUUAGCUGGCUAGUCUACACCACUUGACCUCUAGGUAGGUGAGCAGGUGGUUUUAAUGAUCUGCACUUGGUCGGGAAACAAGCUCCUUCUUUCUUUUGGGCUUCGGCUGGGCCUUGGACUUUUCCUUCUUCUGAACCUUUUUUUGGGCUAACCCAUUUUUAACCCAAAGUUCAAGUUUAUCCCAAACAGUGCCCCCUUCAAUUAAUAUUCAGGCUGGAAUUCCAGGCACCAAUAUUGAUUGAAUAUCCGCAUGCCUGUAUACCUGCUAUCGGAACUUGUGUUUUCUAGAUGGGAUGAAUGCAAUCUUGCAUCUCUUGCUCUUCUCAUGACUUUUGAGCUAUCCUCUGAGGUUCCUAUAAAUUCUGGCUCAAAACUUCUCUUGUCCAGCUAACAGAUUUUCAACCUUCUCUUUUAUCACCCUCGGACGUUUCUGCCUUCUUAGUUUUCUUCUAAAAUUGGAAAAUAGGUUCCUCCGGAUUCAAUUAGGGUUUCCUAAAACUCCCUUUUUGUGAGAAAAAGGAUUUUCAUUAAAUAUCUACUAUCUCCAACACCUUUGGUCAGACACCCCGCUAUCCCCAACACCUUUGGUCAGGCGGUUUCCUCCUGAAGGCUUGCCCUCCUGCUCGUUGCUUUAAUAAGUCGGGCUUCACCAUCAUAUUUGGUGAUGAUCCUUAUUGAGGGUCCUCUACCAAGCUCAUCUUGGCCACACAACCCGAUCACCUGAUCCUGACCAGGUUUUGUCCAUGAAGAUACCAGAAAACUAGUCGAGACACCAACACAAUGUAGAAGGAAUGAAACAUGGCACAUUGGGGCUUAAUCCGAUGUAAUUUUUACCAAUUCGUCGAAAUGAAUGAAGCAUCAUUUUAACAACUUUUAUCUUUCUGUCUUCUUAAAUGGUUGAUGAAUAGACUGCAUUCCAACACCCCAACGCCUGCUUUAUCUUUCAUCUUCUUCAAUAUAACAAUCCCUAACAUCCCAUAAUGUAAGACAUUACUUUUUUAAGAAUUUGACAUUGAUGGGAUGUUUCUGCCAAUUUCCUUCGAGGUCAGCUAAGUAACAUCCUCCCUUGUCUAAUACUUGACUAACAAUAAAAGGACAUUCCUAUGUCGGGCUCCAUUUCCCAAAGCCCCUAAGCUGAGCUCCUAGAGGAAGAACUGUCUUCCAUACUAAAUCUCUUUCCUUGAAAGACUUCGGUUUUACCUUCUUGUUAUAAGCUCGGGCAACAACUCUCUUUCCUUCCUGAAUCUGGUUCAAGGCCUCAAUUCGGGCUACAUCUAAAUCUUCAAUCCCUUGACACAUAGCUUCUAUGCACUCUUCACUGUGUAACCCGAAUUGAUUUUGAAUCCUGACAGAACUUACAUUGAUCUCUAUGGGAAGAACCGCAUCUUGCUCGAAUGUCAAAGCAUAAGGAGUUGUCCUCGUUCCUGCCCUCUUAGAGGUUCGAUAUGCCCACAAAGUAUUCCAUAGCUUUUCAUGCCACUUUUUCGGGCUAUCUGUCGCCAUCUUUUUUAUAAUGUUUAUUAAAAUCUUGUUGUUGGCCUUUGCUUGACCAUUUGACUAAGGGUAGUAAGGACUGGACUGAAUCAUCUUUAUUUUGUAUUUGUUUGCAAAUUCUUCAACUUCUUUUGAUAUAAAAGAUGGCCCACGAUCCGUGACUAUGGUUUCGGGCACCCAAACCUGUGCAGAAUCUUGGUCUCAAUAAAUUUCUUGACUGCAGCUGAAGUUAUGGUCUUUACAGCUGAGGCUUCUACCCAUUUGGUGAAAUAAUCAGUUGCCACAAUUAUGAAAGUAUGCCCCUUGCUAGAAUAUGGAUAAAUCUGCCCGAUGAAGUCCAUUGCCCAUCCUCUAAAGGGCCAAGGUUUAACCACUGGAUUUAAAGGUACUAAAGGCACAUGUUGGAGGGGUCCAUGCCUUUGACAUUCCUCAUAGCCUCGAGCAUAAGACUUGCAGUCUUUUUCUACGUCGGGCCAGAAAUACUUAUACCUUUUAAUCAACUACCUCAUCUUCGUUCCAGCUUGAUGUGCCCCACAUAUCCCUUCAUGUACCUCGGCCAUUACUCUCAUAGAUUCCUCUUGGCCUAGACAUUUCAGUAGUAGCCCAUCCAGAGUUUUCCUUAGCAGGUUCUCCUCCCAUAAGACAUACUUAGUUGGUUGCUGUCUAUUUUUCUUGCUUGUGGGUGAAGAAAGAUCUUUCAAAUGAUGAAUGAUAGGCGAUCUCCAAUCUUCCAUCUCGGUUUCUAGGACCAUUACAUCUAGACUGAAUCCCCUUUCUAGGAUAGAAGGAAGAUUUCUUCUUUGAAUCUCGACAUCUACUCCAUACCUUCUUUCCUGGAUUGGUACUCCCGAGGCUAUUUGCGCCAUCUCAUUGGUAUCUAGAUUAGAUUCCCUGGGAACAUGAUUAACUGAUACUUUAAAAUCCCAAUAGCUCAACAAUUGUGUGGCCAAGUAAUACCCAGCCAUGGUGAUAUGUCUGCACUUGUAUUCUCCGUUUAGCUGGUUUAUCACUAACUUUGAAUCAUCAAAUACCUCUACCUUCAUUGCCCCCAGCUCUAUCAAGAUCUCCAAGCCAAUUAUUAAGGCUUUAUACUCCGCCUGAUUGUUGAUAUUCCUUUGGUAAUCUAGAAGGAACGAGUAAUAAUGGUGAACCCCUUGGGGAUUUAUGAUGACAAUCCCUGCUCCAGAAGCCUUCUGAGUGUAAGAACCAUCAAAAUAAAGCUUCUAAGGAGUAAUCCAAAGACCAGUUACCCUUUUUAUUUCUUGUUGGACCCACUAUUCUUCGCCCAAGAUGCCUUUGCCUAGUGGGAUCCAAACAUUAAUUACUUCCAGGAUCCCUGGUAUAUUGACAAUCUCAUCUUGAGACUCUUGGUGCUCUGCUAAGAAGUCAGCAAUUGCUUGGCCCUUGCCCGCCCUUUAGGGUACAUAUUGAAAGUUGAACUCUGAUAAUGCUAGAAUCCACUUCCCAAUCCUUCAUGUUAGCAUUGGUUUUGACAACAUAUACUUUAUCACAUCUGUUUUGGCGAUGAUGUGCACGUGACAAGGUAACAUGUAAUGGCUCAACUUACUAGCAGUGAAAUACAGAGCUAGGCACAACUUCUCUAUGGGGGAGUAUCUUGUUUCUACCUCAGUCAGAAUUCUACUGAGGUACUAUACUGCUUGUUCCUUUCCGCCUUCAUUGUUUUGGGCUAGUAAACUCCCGAUUGAUUUCUCUAAAGCAGAGAUAUAUAGCUUUAAGGGUUUUCCCCUUUGAGGUGGUACCAACACUGGUGGAGAAGUCAAAUAGGCUUUGAUGUUGUCAAAAGCCUUUUGGUGUGGUGGUCCUCAUUUGAAACUUUCUUUAUCCUUCAUUUUCAAUAGAGGAGUCAACGGUUGAAUCUUGCCCGCUAAAUUGGCAAUGAAUCUCCUUAAGAAAUUAAUUUUGCCUAGUAGUCUCUGAAGUUGCAUCUUGUUGGUGGGUGGAAGUGACUCUAUUAUUGCCUGAGACUUGUUCUUGUCCACUUCUACACCUCUUUGAUGAACCAGGAAUCCCAAGAAGUUGCCCGCUCUUACUCCAAACACGCACUUCUUUAGAUUCAUCUUGAGUUUAUGGAUCUUCAUCCUUGUUAAUGCUUGCCUGAGGUCUAUCAGAUGCUGCUCUUCUGUUUUAGAUUUCACCACGAUGUCAUCGAUGUACACCUCCAUGUUAUGGCCAAUCAAAUCAUGAAAAAUAGCAUUCAUCGCCCUUUGGUAGGUUGCACCAGCAUUCUUGAGCCCAAACGACAUGACUAGAUAUUCAUAUACCCCCACAUGACUGGGACACCUAAAAGCUGUUUUAUGUAUAUCUUCCUGGGCCAUCUUUAUCUGAUUAUACCUGACAUUUCCAUCCAUAAAAGAUAAGACUUUAUGUUUUGCUAUUGCAUUUAUGGAUAGAUCAGCCAUGGGCAUGUGAUAUUCAUCUUUUGGUGUGGCGCCAUUAAUAUUUCUGAAAUCAACGCAACAUCGUACUGCAUUUGUUAUGGCUUUUAAAACGGGUACAAUGUUGGCCAACCACUCUACAUAUUUGGCAGGUCUAACAAAUCCAGCUUUCACUAGUCUUUCAAUUUCUUCUUUGACCUUUUUUUCUAUUUCCUUUGACAUCCUUCGUGGUGCUUGCUUAACAGGUUUAUAUCCCUCCUUGAUGGGCAUUCUGUGUUUCACCAAGGUUGAAUCUAAACCUAGCAUCUCAGUAUAAUGCCAAGCAAAACAAUCUUUAAAUUCUUGUAGAAGAUAAACAAUCUUUGCCCCAUCAUUAGUUUCUAAUAAGCCAUUGAUUUGUAUAGGUCUUGGAUCUUCUUCUGUCCCUAGAUCAAUAACUUCCAAAGGAUCCUGAACUUUUGGUGGUAGCUUGUCAGGUUCUGUACACAAAAAUUUGACUAACUUCGGGUUUUCGGGCAAGUCGUCUGGCCCAUCCAAGUCAUAUAUGCACUCGGCCAUUCGUAUGGCCACCUCCAAUUCUUCUCCGUAAAGUUCUUCCUUGCUUUCAUCCUGGCCGGUCGAAGUUCCUAGCUGCCAUUCGUGCUCUUCUUUUCCUAAGAGCUCCAUUUUUUGUUUUCUUUCUCUCCCAUACACCAACAGUCUUUUGAUUAGGGACUUGACUACCGUUACCUGAUCCUUUCUCUUUUGUUCUGUCAUUGAUGGUAUUGAGGUGUUGGGACGAUACAGGGUCUAUCCCAUUCUUCUUUAGUGGGGUACAUUCUUUGUUCUAAGAGCUUUUGGGCCGUCACCUUGGUAGGGCGGUCGUUCUUAUCUACUCCUGAACAUUGCAGAAUUCCUACAUUGGGAUCUUAGAAAUUUUCUUCCGCUACAUUGGCUGUAGGAAGAAAUGGUCGUGAUUCGGCCUCCACCAUGUCCCAAAAGCCUGAUUCCCCCGUUCCUGUUUCAUGGUAAACGGCAACUUGUUGAUGUAGAGUGGAGGGUAUGGCAAGACUUUGGUGGAUCCAGUCCCUUCCAAGUAAUGCUCUAUAGGUGGAAGUACAAUCCACCACAAAGAAUGCCAGCAUGAUUUGUUUGGAUCCCAAGUCCACUUCUAAAGGCAAUAUCCCAUGAGUUUUGGUGAUAGCACCCGAGAAGCUCGAAACUGUGACAUCUGUAGGAAUGGGAUCUUCUACACCUUUCCCUAUCUUCUUCAUUUUCUUAGCAGGCAAUACGUUAACAGCUGCUCCACCAUCAAUCAAAACUCUUUUUAAGGGCACCCCCUCCAAAUGAGCUGCAACAUAUAUUGGCUUGAGAUGGUUGGCUAGCAACAUGUUUGGGCGGCUGAACACCAUUUUAUCAGUAUAGAUUCUUAAUGGACCAUUCUGGAACAUCUUGGAUGAUUCAGCUUUUCCCAAUUCUUCUUCUCCGACUACUUUAACGCUGACAUGGGCCAUCAAUGGCUCUGCUGUCAAAUAGUCACUUUCCAUAGUGGCGGGCUGAUCAGGUUCAGCACCAAACAUGGCGGAUAACACAUACGUCAUGUUGAUAAGAAAGGUACUAGGCUAUGGAAAGUCUUAUUUCUUGCUCCUGAUCUGUUCCAUAAACUCAUUUAACCAGGCCAUCGCAUCUUCUGGGAGUAAUGAUUUUGGUGCCCCUCUUGUUGAUUUAUGCCUGAAUCUAGUAUUUGCUUGGGAACUUUGCCAAAAGGAUCCAAUGAUAUAGAAGAGAGCUUUCUCUCAGGCGAAACAGUUCCUGGCAUCAUUAUCAUAUCUUCUUGAGCUCUCCUCAAUAUCCUGUACUUCCCAGGGUGUAGGCUUUGUGGUACAUGGUUUCCUUCACCCUCUGUUUUGCUAUUAAGCCCUCUGCACCUCUUUUUUACUCCUCUAGUUAAACUGACUACUUCCCCCAGAUGGUGUUUUUUCAAACUUCUGAUUCUUGGAGGCUUCAGAAGUCGCAAAAGUCUUUAAAGAAUUCAUGUAGGCUUUAUGCUGCCUCUAGACCCUUCUGAUCAUAGAGGCUCCCAUUUGUUCGGUGGGUUGUCCAUUUUUCCCGACUGAUGCGAAAUAUAUAAGCACACAAAUUAAACCCUCUUUUUGUCAAUUGUAGUAAAGAAUGUAAGUAGGGAUCGUUCUAGGCCGGGGAUUAGGAGGGAUUCCUAAAUCACUUGGAAACUGACUUGGAAAUGUAAAAACAAAGUUUAAAACACUAAACUAGACUCAAAGAAUGCAAAACUAUACUUUAAAAUACUAAGAUAAACAAAAAGAUUCAAAACAGCAAAUAAACACUCAAAACUGCCUUAAAAACACUUUCUGGGCAGUUUUGAACACCUAACACUAAAUUCGACGAAAUUGGGUUAUGACUUGACUCAAGACACUUAAAAACACAAACUAAAGUGAUUACUGACUAAUCUAACAUUUUGAAAUAAAUGGGAGAUUGGUUCUUGACGAAUUUGAAAACAAAACAAACUUUGUAAAACAAAACAGAUUGUAAAUGAAUUUGAAUGAAACUUAUGGAUGGAAGGCUAGCUAGGAGGUUCUUCUCCACACAUGUCACACUUGCAUACAAAACGAUUUCCAGUUGUUUUUCGAUAAACUAUGAAUACUCAACGCCCCAAAUUAACUGUGAAUUGCACUAAUUAACCCUCAGUUUUUCCACAAGUUAUUAGGUUUGAUGAUUGCAUACGACAACCCAAAACAUUCCCUACAAGUUCCCUACAUGAAUUACAUAAUAGAGAUACAAGCAAGAAUCAUUAAGUUCUAUGAAAAACAUAAGCAUUGACGAGGCACUCGUUACUAUGAUUUGCAUGAAACUUAUGCCAAGAAUUUACUUAACGUGAUUGUGACUAGCAACCUUUACUACUUGUGAAUAUAAGUUCAUAACGAUUAGGUGAAACUCCCUUAUAUUCUAGCGUCAAAUUCAUGCAUGAAAAUUAAGCGUGCACUCUCAACCAACAUACACAAAUCAGUUUUUAUACGAACGGAUAAGUAAAUUGAAUUCACAACUUAUGAAUCACAACUUGAUGUAAUCAAAUCAUAUUGUAAGCAUGAACAUAGUUUCGAAUCACCCCCUAACUAAGAGGGGUUUAGUUCCUCAUACUCACAAAGCAAAGAUGCAUAAAUUUAGACAUUAAAAUCAAGGAAAGAAAACACCUAAAAUGCUCCAACUUGGACAACAGGUGCAUCAAUGGAUCUCCCUUCCUCCUUGCUGCGGCAUGAAGCUUGUGGACAGGUUUUGGGUGGUUUUUAUGGUGUAGAAUGGAUGGGGAAUGGUAUGGAAAUGUUUAGGGUUGAUGGGUGGUGUGGCUAGGGGUGAUUUUUGGCUGAAUUUGGAGAGAAUGGUGGUGAGAACUCACGGCAAGGACUAGGAAGAAAAUCUGUUCUUUUUGAUAAAUAUGGGAGAUGGUAUUUAUAGGCUUGAGAGAGGACCACUCCAUUUCCUUUGCAUGUGCAGCUUGUAUGGGUGUGAGUUGUCAUGUUUCCCCUUUACAUUUAUACACACAUGCUUCAUCAUUUCAACCACAAAACACACCAAUUUUCUGCCAUGCCUUGUGCUUUUCUUCCACUUUGCAUGUGGUUUUGCUGCCAUGUUUCUUUGCUUUGCCAAUACACUUGCAUACAUACAUGUUCUUUGCAUCAUUUCAACCACAAAACACACACAUUUUCUGCCAUGUAUCUCCUUUACAUUUAUACACACAUGCUUCAUCAUUUCAACCACAAAACACACCAAUUUUCUGCCCAUGCCGUGAGUGUCCCAUUCACUUUGCAUGUGGGUGUCUUUGCAUGUGUUUUGUGGCAGAAAUGUUGUGUAAUGAUGAGGAGUUGUUGCUGCAACAAAGGGUUUAUUAAAAGGGAUAAAGGAAAUAAAACCCUAGGUUAACUAGGUAAACAGAAAUUAAGUCUAAGGCUUCUAGAAAUAGGAAAUAAAAUCAGAAACUUAAGGGAAAUUGACUAAAAAGUGCGGCUAGGGUAUGGAACAUAAAAGGAAAGUGUUUUAAUGCAAGAGAUUAGGAAAGAACCCUCUCCCUUGCACGGCAAGGAAGAGGAAAGGUCAAGGGAUGUGGCUGUGAUGUAGGCAAGGUUUAGGGAAAGGUUUAAAUGUCCUAAAAUUGAAGGGAAAGUAGAUCCCUUGUACGGCAAGGGAAUGGAGAAUUGGGAAAGGUGCGGCAAAGGUCCCUAAGAGUUCUAGGGCCUUUGUUUCUUCAAGUCUUCAAUUAGGAAUCCUUAUUUCUUCAAGUCUUCAAUUCACCCAUUCCUUUUGCUCCAAACGCUCCAAAUUACAUCAUUUUGCACACUUUGGCCUUAGAAUCUGACAACACACAAAAGUAACUUUAAACACUUAAAUAACUAAAGCAACACAACGUAAAAGCACGAGAACAAGCCCAUUAAGUCGCAUAAAUAUGCUCCUAUCACCGACCACGUACCAUUUUCGCCCGAGACGGGCAGGGUUAUCCUUUUUUACAGUAUUUGUUAUCCUAUCAUUCCUUUUAUCUUCUCUCCCUACAUGGCCAUAUUGAGGAUGCCUUAUUUCCCUAUCUUUUAUACCUUUAGCCUCCUUGUCUUUUGCCUCCUUAGAAGCUUCAUGAUUUCCAAACACUUCUGAUAAAGCUCUAGGUUGGGAAUCCCCUCCUAACCGCUGAAAAACACUUCGGGAAGUCUCUCUUCCUGUUGUCUGCCUAGCUUUUUCACAUGCCUCUUUUCUUUCUUCUUCCUCUUUCCUUCUGAUUAGUUCAUGAUCAAUGAAGACUCCUGCUGGCGGUACUUCGAGCUCACACUCGCAUUGGCAUGUACUGCACAGAACCAUCCCUUUGAUUAUGGCUGCUUUUGGAUGUUCGGGCAAUUUGAUCACCCCUUUUGUGGAUUUGUCAGCUGGCCUUCCUUCUUCUGUCUCCUUUGCAACCUUUCCUUUCCCCUUCUCAGCCCAUGCUAAAUUAAUCAUAUUAACUAGGGCUUCUAAAAAUGGGUUUGCAUGCUUGUUUAGCAUUGUUUCAACUUGCCCCUGAUAUGGGCUCGGUGGAUUAUUUGCUAAGGUCAUCUCUUCAUCUGGCUGGCUGGCCUCCAGUUUUUCUCUUUCUUCUUCCCCAUAAUCUUCCUCCCUGACUAGAGGUAAAGAUAUGGGAAUAUUUGGUUUCAUAACUAGGUCUAUUUUCCUUUUGAAGCCUGCGGAUGUGUUUUCUAAUCUUUGCAACAUCUGCACCAAGGUAGUUUGCAAAUCUUCAGGUAGCUUUGACAUAUUUCUUUAGCAAUUAGGAUCUGAUCAAGCUAUCCCACCGGGCGUGCCAAAACUAUGUUCGUCUUAAGGAAUAUCCAGUGAGGUCGUUUCCUAAACAACGAGCACACAGCUCUUCGAGAGGUUGGCGCCAGUUGAUGUUGUCUGUUAGGCUUCUGCUUAUUGGCGGGUUGUAAGAGAAGGACAGAGUUAAUUCUGAAAGGUGCCUUUGUAGAGCCUUAGGUGUAGGCCUUGAGGCUCACAAUCAAAAUUAACUUUAAGUACCCAGACGUGCCACUGCCAUCUUUAGCAUGACAGAUGUAAAACCGAUGUUAAGUGUUAUUGUAUAUAUAUAUAUAUAUAUAUAUAUAUAUAUAUAUAUAUAUCCAAGAAACCCAGUUACUUAUGAAAGGUGCCUUUGUGGGGCCUUAAGUGUAGGCAUUGAGGCUUCCCGUCAAAACUAACCGAAUACUUGAACAUAUAUUGGUUGUUUCAUUGUUGCAGAAGUAUCACAAUCGUUAUACUUUAAUUGUCUGAGCCCACAGAGCAUAAUGAAUUCAGAUAUGUGCCUUUGUCGGGCCUUAGGUAUAGGCUUUGAGGCUUCCUAUCAAAGUUAAUUUUAUACUCAAGUGUUCUGUGGGAAUCAUGAUAUAACAUAAGUAAAACUAGAGAAUAAACCAAUUACUUGCGCCCCAAGUAACUUCGAACUUCUUGUUAUCAAGGAUUGUCGUGGAUGGGUUAAGUGCACAUAGGGUUCUUUUUAUGCUUUGAGACCAAGGACUUUUAAUUGAUCAAUCUUGUCUGCCCGAAUGGUUAGAACUUAUAAGUCUUUUAAUCAUAAACUGGCUAGCAAUAACUUGGAUGCAGAUGGAAAUAUACAUCAUAUUACUAGAUAUAUGAAUGAAAGACAAAAAACAAAGAAGGUCAGGCAAGGCUGAUCGUCUUGCAACUUCCUCUCUUUGUGAUUUACAAAGUGUUCGAAUGUUAGAAGGGGAGAUUGGAAGAUGAGUUUAUAUGAGGGAAUCGAUAUUACAACAAGAUUUAAACAGGGUAGCAGAGCUUUUACAAAGUCUUUCUGGUGAAGGUUGAUCCCGAAAGGGAUGAAGACUGGGGGGCUGACUACAGCUUCGUGAAGGCAAAUCUGGUUUGAGCAGAGUUUGUGCUUGUAUUUGUUUGUUUGAUUGAGUGUCCUUGUCUCUAAUUUUUCUUCCUCAUUUUACAGACGAUUUGGCUUGGCUGCCUGUAGUAUUGAUUUUGCUCGAAUGCAUCUGAAGGGCAGUGACUCAUCAAUUUUUUACUUGUACUGCCAUUGUAAAGUACUUUUGGGCUGAUUAGCUGGCUGGUCUACACCAUUUGACCUCUAGGUAUGUGAGCAGGUGGUUUGAAUGAUCUGCACUUGGUCGGCAAACAAGCACUUUCUUUCUUCUGGGUUUCGACUAGGCCUUGGACUUUUCCUUCUUCUGAACCUUCUUUUGGGCUUUCUUUUGGGCUAACCCCUUUUUAACCCAAAGUUCAAGUUUUAUCCCAAACAGACUUCAUGCUGAAUCAUCAAAGCACACUCAAUAUAAAAAAUACAGAGGAAGAGAGAAAUCAAAGGCCAAUAGGAAGAACUUGAACUGCAACAAUUGCCAUAGCCAAAAUCCUCCAAACACCUACUCAAACAAUUUCUGAAAAACCUCCAAUCGCCGACUCGAAAUUUCUGACUUAAAAACCCAAAUUCUGCACAAAUCAACACAGAUUAUCAAAGAGACUCAGGCCCGAUGAAAAACCUAAGCUCUUUGAUACCAUGAUAACAAUAUUGAUGAAGGUAAUUCAUGGAAGCGAAGAAGAACUCAGAGAGAGAUAAUGGAAGAAAUAUCCCACGGGUCAAAAAAUUAUAAAAUAUUUAAAAUAUCGAAUUAGAAAAUAUUAAAAUAAUAAU
rnacentral:lncRNA from 1 species